rnacentral:lncRNA from 1 species
CUAGCUGCAUGAGAACGCUGAAUCUGGUAGUAACCAGCAUGGUGCCCAAGGUCCUCGAGAGAAACUCCUCUAGGAUCAACCAAAUUGGGAAACUUAACACGCCACUCGACAAUAUUCUGACCAGAGGAAAAGUAACGAGAAUUUUCACGGUCUAAAUCAAUUACAUUGAUCGGUUUAUUAGGGAACAAGUUGAGGUCUCGGAUUAGCUUCUCUGCCCGAAUCGAUGGCGGGCGGAGCAAUGCCACGGCCGAAGAGAGUAUAGAAAGGAGGAGAAAGGCGAAGAUAGAGAGAAAUUUUGCAGAGUAAUUCUCCAUUUUCGUGAGAGCUGGUUAUAGGGUGGGAUAGGAAAUUGAGAUGAAGCUUUAUUUUUUGUUAUUCUAAAAUCUUGAGGUGGAUUUAUUAUAAUCCUAUCUUUUCCUCUAAGAUUAUUAUCUAAUAAUGCAUUUCCUACUUGUAGAUUAUAUUCUAGAUUUUCUAGUCUUUUAUGUAUAUCCUCAAAACUUUCAUUCGUAGUGUUUUUAGGUAAAUAGGGAUAACUAGGUUUUUUAUGUUUUUUAACCUUUUCCAAAAAUUCUUCAAUUAUAUUUUCUUCAUCUACUAUAUUCAUCAUAAUUUUUGGUUCGUAACAUGGCUCUGAUACCAUCUGGUCGGAGUGUGCAGCGGAGGGGUUAAUAUUUUUGAGCCAAUUAGAUUCUUCAUAAGUAUUUAAAAUGUCACAAUAGAAUUUAUAAAACUCACUAUUUUUUAUUACACAAUAAAAUUUAUAAAAUUCACUAUUCUUUACCAAUAUUUUUUCUUGAAUAAUUAUGUUUAAUUUUUUAAUUCUCCUUCUUAAAUUAAGAAUUGAUUUAUAUAUGUCUUUUUCCAUUUUAAUUGCUUCGUUAUCUAUGGAAUCAUUUUUAUUUUUUAUUUUUGGGUCUAAAUAUUCUAUAAAGAAGUCUUUCAGAUCUUCUUCUAGAUAGAUUAAUUCGUUUUCUGUAUAGAUUUUUAGAUCAAUAAAAUUUUGUAUAAUAUUUGGAUCUAGAUUUAUUAAAAAUUUAUGAUCUAUAUUUUCUUGAGGACUUAUUUGAAGAUUUUUAGACAUUGUAAUGGCUUUGGUUGCAAUUUCUCUAUUAAGGGUAUUUUUGGAAAAUUAGUUGUUUGGAGACUAGUUUUCAAAUGUUUUUAUUUCUCAGGCUAAUUUGGAAAAUCAACCUUCUAUUUAAGCUAUAAAGCUCUAUUUCCCACUCUUCGUACUCAUGGUUACUAGAAUAGCUAAACUCGACCCUACCCUUGAAACUCUUCUUCGUGAAGUUUGGUAGGUUUCAUCGACUCGAUCCCAGUCGGGUUGAAAGAAAGAGGCUCAAGUCUGCCUCAUUGUUGGUCUACUGAAAAAAAUACCAAAGGAGCUCCAUAUUUUUCAUUUCAUUUCUUCUGAAAAUACAUCCAACCAAUGAACUCAAACGGCAACCUGUGGGUACCAAAUGCCAUCAAAGCAGCAGCAAUAACAUAUGAUGUCCAUAACAAUUUUGUAAAGGCAGUUCAGUUUGUUCUAUGAAUAAGGUACAAUAAUACAUCGAAAUUACUGUACAUGGCUAUCUCUGUCUGGAAGUCUUAACCAUAUACAAAUUAUAAACAAUCCAAACAACUAUAAGAUUAGAGUGAUUUAACUAUUGUUACAACAACUAAGAUUCGAAGUUAAAUGGAUACUGAAGCUUCAAGUUUCAACUAUAUUUCACAUUGCUGUGCAGAUAGAAAGCCUCCGAAAAGACCUAGAAUAUGAUUAUCUAGUCGAAAAGCCCCUCAUCAUGCCAGAUAUCAACCAAAAAGUCUACCAUCUCCUGCAUCAGUAAGCAUAUUUGUACGUUAGAGACUACAUAAUAAUGCCCCACACGCACGCACGCACACACAAACAAAAAAGGAAAAAAAAUAAUUAAUGAAAUGAAAAAAAGAAGCACGCAUGUGAGUGACGUGAUAUUGGUAGAGCAAGUCAGAAACAGUAGGAGACGACCAAAACUUAGCUGCUAAGGAUACCCAAAUUUAUUGGGACCAAUGCUUAGUUUGUUGCAUUUGUACUAAUAAUGGUAGUCCAAUUUUUAUGCAGCAAAAAAGUAAAUACCCUACUCAGCUGGCACAUAAAGCUCAUUUAAAGACAACUAAAAGUUUGUUUUAGGGUCCUCGUUCGAGUGAAGGGGACACCUAAAUACUUAUAAAGUACAUCUGUAGUAUCUUUAUCCAGAGAACUUACAGGUAAAGGGAUUGGUUCGGAAAAAGGGUCAUUAGUUGAAAGCAAGUCUUCAUAGGUCAUUGACCAGCUGCAAGAGCAAAUACCAGAGUAGAUUUCAAUGUAUAAACUUAUAAACCGAGAAAUGAAAACCAAUGACAUCAUUAAUGGUUCUUGGAUACCUCAAUAUACUAAUAUAGUGGUUGUCAUUAACCUUUUCACCACAAUACAUAUGUGCGUAUGCAUAUGUAAAGAAAGGCACGAGUUUAGUAUCCUCAAUAGCUCCAAGUAGGGAAGAGUAAACAGCUAAAACUUUGAUCUACUCUAAAAAAUUCUCUUUUACAGAGAAAAAGGACCACAUACAUAUGUGCAAUGGAAGCAGUUGUAUUAUAUACCCUAAUUACUUAGAACUAUAUAACAAAAUCAUCUUAUUACAAAACUUUACGUGGGCCUUCAAGGCAUCAAUAAAUGUAGAGCAAAGUAACCAGCUGUUCUUGUUGCAUAUAAAUAGAUUAGUCAGUUAAGUAUACAAAUGUCAAUUAACUCUACACCUAGUCUAAAUGGCAACUCCAAAUUAAUGAUACAGGAUAUGAUCUUCUUCUAGCCAUUCAUUUCAUUGCUACUAUAUCGAACAGUGCUACAUUUGCGUCCCCCUAUAAUGUUAUUUGUUGGGUGGUAUUGGGCCUCUUUCACCCCCAAAAAGUAGCUCAAGACGUGAGGUUUUCCUUCACACUUAUAAAUCGAAUACCAACCUCAUUUAUAACCGAUGUAGGACAACCUCAACAAUUUCCUUCUCACACAUCGGGCUUUGCGGGAGACCAAACCCGUCUCCCCCUCACACAAAGGGCCUGCGGGAGAUCAAGCCCGUCUCCCCCUCACAUAAACUCGUAUCUCCAUAACUAUUGAGCCAGAGACGAUUGUUGGGCCAGAGAUUUGUUGACAAAUCGAGCUCUGAUACCACGUGUUGAUCCCAAAGGGUCGUAAAGAAUGAGAUUUAAUGACGAUGUAAGGUAAUAAAGAUCACAAUAA